GAAAGGUCCCUUUGAGAGGACGAUGCAGGAAAAACAGGUCCAAGAAUGACAGAUGCAAAACAAUGUCAAGAUGCAAAACAGCAAAACAAGAGUCUCAACAACUGCACCUGGUAGAAGUAAGAAUGAAAGUGAACGCAACACUCAACACAUCAGAGGAUGAUCCUGGGCCCAAACAAAUCCUGGCCCUGAAGCACAUCAUCAUUUCAGUCAUGUGGAUGACAGAGGCAGAGGUGAGAUCUGCCCAGUUCUCAGUUCGAUUCAGCGAGGCCAGAACAGAGUGUACAUUCCUGUGGCGGCACUCCCGCAGGUCCUGGAGUGGGGUUGAUCAAGUUCAUUAAAAGGUGAUGUUCAAGCCACAACCGGGGACAAGCUUUGAUCCGGGCUGACGAUGGUUUGCCUUUUGGAAAUCUUCCUUUUCAAGUGGAAAGUCACAAGAGUCCUACUUCAUGAGCAGUGUGAUCAGAAAGACCUUGUUUCACCUGCAUCUGGCCUCAUCUACACUUGUCCAUCCUGUGCUUUAGCUCACAUUUUUUCCAAAUGAAACACUUGUUCUCCAGCCGCUCCUGCACUAUCUCCUCUUCAAAUAAUCACAAUUUACACCGUUUCCUGUGUCUGACUCUCAUCAUGUGCGUAACUGUGCCAAAUUUAUUGUGAUCUAGGAGCGCUAUGGGCCAGAGGUUAAUUCUUCAGUGCCUGUGUUAGAUGUUCUGGAUGGGGACCUCAUCAGGGAGUUCAAGCCACCGCACAGUAAAAGCUGUUCCAAGAGAGGGGGUAACAAAGUGUUUAUCCUGCCGAGGCCAGAAAUGACUUUUUAACCUUAUUUUCAUCUAUAAGAACAUGGCUUACUGUAGACGCUGCCUGUACUGGCUACAUGACUGUCUGUGGUCAGCUUUCAGAAACAAGCCUCCACAGAACACAACAUCGUGACUAUUUUAGAUGUAGUUACCGCGAGUUUAAUGUUAACUUUGAUAGACAUAUAAUGACAUCAAAUUAGUGACAUCACAAUAAAAUAAUUCAGUUCAAUUCUGAUUAGAUUUCCCUAACAUGUGCGGCAUUGUCAGGUUUAAACAACCUGUGGCUUCGAAUGCUACUCCAUAAACAAUUUCUCUGGCGCUGCAUCAAAAUUGCACUACCAACUUGUAAAUAGGCGAGCACAUGGCCCUCUCCCGAGACAAGGAACACAAUAAAAGGCUUUUAGGUCCAUCAACAUCAUAGGAGUCAUGUCUGUGGCAGUGUUGCUUUAUACCUGCUGGUAUAUAAACAUUUAUGGAAUAAAUAUAGCCUAAUCAUCACAAUGUAUGAACCUAUUUUCCAGUGCCUCAUCUGUAGAGUUUUGACCAUGCCAUAUUAAAUGUGAUGAA